rnacentral:tRNA from 1 species
AUUUAAAUAAUUUAAUAAAAAAUAUUGAUUUGUGGGGUCAAAAAUAUGAGGGGUAGAAAUCAUUUUAAAUU